rnacentral:rRNA from 1 species
GAAGUAAAAGUCGUAACAAGGUUUCCGUAGGUGAACCUGCGGAAGGAUCAUUAUUGAAAUACCUGAUGAAGUUGUUGCUGGUUCUCUAGGGAGCAUGUGCACACUUUGUCAUGUUUUUAUAUCUUCACCUGUGCAUCUUUUGUAGACUUGGAUUGAUUCCAGGCCUAUGUAUAUCUUAUCUACUCCAGUAUAGAAUGUAUAAUAAGACAAUGGCCUUUUGUGCCUUUAUUUUUAUACAACUUUCAGCAAUGGAUCUCUAGGCUCUUGCAUCGAUGAAGAACGCAGCGAAAUGCGAUAAGUAAUGUGAAUUGCAGAAUUCAGUGAAUCAUCAAAUCUUUGAACGCACCUUGCGCUCCUUGGUAUUCCGAGGAGCAUGCCUGUUUGAGUGUCAUUUAUAUAUCAUCAGCACUCAUUGAGUGUUGGAUUUGUGGGGGUUUGGUGGCCUUUUGAGGUCAGCUCCCCUGAAAAGCAUUAGCAGAACAAUUUAUGUUUCAUUGGUGUGAUAAUUAUCUAUGCUAUUGAACAUGAAGCAAGUUUGGCUUCUAACAUGAAUUUCAUAAAUGGACCUCAAAUCAG